rnacentral:snRNA from 1 species
GGAUAUGAAGGAGAUCUAGCUGUGACAUCUGUCACUCCAUCCAUUGACCACCAGAAUUGACUCGACUGAUAUGGAUGGCUAAGAGGGUGCCUCUUUAUUCAUCCUGAGGCUGCAUGGAAGUCCAAGAGGGCAACCUUCCACAAUACAUGAGGUCUGUCUUUGGCCAAGGGCAUAAAGUAACAAAGUUCCUCUACUAGAACCUUCUAACAAGCUCUCAAGUUUAUGCUUCAUUUUUGUCCAUAUCCUGGAGACCCUCCUUGACCCUUACACUGGCUUUUCUG